rnacentral:rRNA from 9 species
UAACGAUCUGGGCACUGUCUCAGCCAUGAGCUCGGUGAAAUUGUAGUAUCGGUGAAGAUGCCGAUUACCCGCAACGGGACGGAAAGACCCCGUGAACCUUUACUAUAGCUUCACAUUGGUAUUGGGUAAUUCAUGUGUAGGAUAGGUGGGAGACUUUGAUGCUGCGUCGCUAGGCGUAGAGUAGUCGUUGUUGAAAUACCACCCUUGAAUUAUCUGAUGCCUAACCCGAUGAGGGGACAUUGUGUGGUGGGUAGUUUGACUGGGGUGGUCGCCUCCAAAAGAGUAACGGAGGCUCCUAAAGGUACCCUCAACACGUUUGGUAAUCGUGUGUAGAGUGUAAUGGCAUAAGGGUGCUUGACUGCGAGAGUGACAACUCGAGCAGGUGCGAAAGCAGGUCAUAGUGAUCCGGUGGUUCUGAAUGGAAGGGCCAUCGCUCAAAGGAUAAAAGGUACUCCGGGGAUAACAGGCUGAUACCGCCCAAGAGUUCAUAUCGACGGCGGUGUUUGGCACCUCGAUGUCGGCUCAUCUCAUCCUGGGGCUGGAGCAGGUCCCAAGGGUACGGCUGUUCGCCGUUUAAAGAGGUACGUGAGCUGGGUUUAGAACGUCGUGAGACAGUUCGGUCCCUAUCUGGUGUGGGCGUUGGAUGAUUGAGGGGAGCUGCUCCUAGUACGAGAGGACCGGAGUGGACGAACCGCUGGUGUUCGGGUUGUCAUGCCAAUGGCAUUGCCCGGUAGCUACGUUCGGAAUCGAUAACCGCUGAAAGCAUCUAAGCGGGAAGCGAGCCCCGAGAUGAGUCAUCCCUGAUAGUUUAACUAUCCUAAAGGGUUGUUGAAGACUACGACGUAGAUAGGCAGGGUGUGGAAGCGUUGUGAGGCGUUAAGCUAACCUGUACUAAUUGCCCGUGAGGCUUAACC